AGCUUGACAAACUACAGCACAGCUAGAACAAGCUUGACUGGCAUCAUGUUCAGACUGAAGGAAGUCCAGCGUCUCCUGGUGCUGACAUUUCUCUGCCAAACAGUUCAUGGAAGUCACAUCAUAAAUGGGGAAAAGGCUCCUGUAAACUCAAUGCAGUACAUGGUCUCAGUGCAGAGCAAUGGAAAACAUGUAUGUGGAGGAUUUCUGAUCAGUGAGGACUUUGUGGUCACUGCUGCUCACUGCAAUAAUCCUAAACCCGAUCUGGUUGUCCUGGGAAAUCAUAAUAUCAAAAGUUCAAAUGUAAAAAAAAUAAACAUUCAGUACAGCUGCGAAUUCCCAACUUUCCAAAAUGUUGGACUUGGCAAUGACAUCAUGCUGCUUAAAGUAAGUAUGUGUUCAUGAAAGGUCCAUAACACAAGUUUCAGUAUGGUUACUGUGGAGAAACUCAUCAGUUAUUAAUAUUGUCACACUUGUGUUAAAAGUGUUUGUCUUACAUUUUACUUAUGUACAAACGUAUUACGAUCCAGCAUAAAUCAGUUGUACUGCACCAUAAAUAUAAUCAGCAACAAAAUUAUUAUCGCUAGCAG